rnacentral:lncRNA from 1 species
AUGACCAUUGUUAGCACAGACUUGUUCUCACCAGGUCUGACACUACACCCAAGAGGAAAUGAGGGCUGAAUCCAGAGGGUGGCACAUUCUGCAGGCCAAGCUCCUUGUUCUCUUGUGCAUGUAACUCUGAGCCCACAGGACAGGGGGUGGCUGUGGGACUGGGAAGGAGACUGGUAGCUGCCAAACUUCCCGGAUGCACUGAGUGGUGAAUAGGUCCGAACGCCAGUUCUGUUGGAUAUCUGUGCUGAGAACUCUGUCCCAGAAUUCAGAGCUUUCUGGGGACCAUCAAGUAGACUGAUGUUCCCCAUGGUUGGCCCUGUUGUCUCUACUUCUAGGAAUAUGUGGACAAAAAACUAUCCUUUGUUGCUCAAGAAUGAGGCUUCAGCUCAUGGAAUGUUUCUACAGUGUCAAACCUUCAACAGUUCAAUACUGGUGUAGUGUGUGUGUGUGUGUGUGUGUGUGUGUGUGUGUGUGCGUUUUCAUGUGUGCAAAUGUUCUGACCUCAUUUUGGAAAUUUAAAUGCAGGUUAACAUAACUUGGUUUCCCUGCUGUGUGGGUGCCUAGGAAAUGUAAUUGAAUCUAACCAACAUGUAUGCUCUGUGGAAGGGACAGAUGAGUUUCCUGUGGGGAAUGGAGAAUAAUACAGGUGGUUUGGAAUUGGAAAACAGCCUGUGGAAGCAAAUGAACUCCACCCUAGAAACUGGAGUUUCCAGUCUACCAGGCCUCUUGGGGCUCAUCUGGGAUUCAAAUCCUUAUGUCUUAAAGGAUCCCACUCUAUGCGCCCCGGUUCUGGGGAAGUGUCACUCCACCCCAUCGAUGAAGGGCUUCCUCACUGUGCCAUGCUGGUGUGAAUGGGAUGGUUUGUCCUGCUCUGCUGACUCCUGUGCCUUCCUGGUACUCAGCUGGGAUUCAAGCCCCGAUGUCAUAAAGGAUCCUGCUCUGUGCACUCCAGUUCCAGGGAAGUGCCACUCCACCCAGCUGACAAAGGGCCUGUGGCUGGUGGGUGCAGACAGGGAUUUUUGUCCUUGGAACUAUAUACUUUCUUCCCACAGCACUCAAGUGAGGGGAUUGCUUUCUCCCACUGUGGACUGCACCUCUGAGCUAGUUACUGAGCCCGGGCUGGCUCACCUCCUCCUCAGAUGCAUGAACAGGACAGCCGGCCCCAGUCUGGAGAAUGCCUUGUAGGUAGAGAUUGGAUCUUUCUGUUUUUUCUCAGUCCCCAGUCCGUGGUUUUUCUCUUGUUCAAGUACAAUCCUACACUUUCUCAGUCUCUCUUUCUUUUCCUUUUGUCUCUCUGCAGAAAGGGAUCCCUCCUCUCCGUGCCUACACCAUCCAUUUUAUCUCUCCCAGUUUGCAAUCAUGCAACUAUGGCCUGCCAGGUUGUCCCUGUGGGCCCCCAAAGACAUCUCUGUCACUCCGCAGCCUGGACUCUUGGAAUUCCAAAUCCUCUGGCUUCAACACUGCUCUGUUUGAGAGACAAGAGUAUUUUGGGUCCCCCUACUUCUCUGCCAUUUUGGAUUCUCUCCUUCGUAUUUCUUUUUAAAAACUUAAGAGAAGUUUUAGGUUGACAAUAAAGUUGAGAGGAAAGUUACA